rnacentral:RNase_P_RNA from 1 species
GGUCGUGCAUUCGCGUAGUGUCACGCCGAAAGGUAUCACUAUGAGGAAAGUCCGGGCUUCGAAGGGCAGGAUAACGGAUAACGUCCGCCGAGGGCGACCUCAGGGAAAGUGCAACAGAAAUAAACCGCCUGCGAAAAGCAGGUAAGGAUGGAAAGGCGAGGUAAGAGCUCACCGGCACGGCGGCGACGUCGUGCAAAUGUAAACCCUAUCCGAAGCAACACCGUAUGCGGAAGCCGAAAGGCGGGCUUGCCCGGCCUAUUUCCGCGGGUGGCACAUAGUAACCAACCUAUGGAGCGGCGCGGCAACGCGCCGUCACAGAUAGAUGAAUGCAGCCCGAGCGAUCGGGAACAGAACCCGGCUUACAGACCCGGUCG